UGUUAUGGCAGCUGUGCGCGGGGCACCCUUGGGUGCGCUGGGUCUCUGGAGUCCUGGUCUGCUAACCCGCGUAUAGCUGCCACCCUA
rnacentral:antisense_RNA from 1 species